rnacentral:rRNA from 1 species
GUGAGGAAUAUUGGACAAUGGAUGGAAAUCUGAUCCAGCCAUGCCGCGUGCAGGAAGACGGCCCUAUGGGUUGUAAACUGCUUUUAUACGGGAGCAAUAAGGUCUAUGCAUAGAUUGAUGAGAGUACCGUAUGAAUAAGCAUCGGCUAACUCCGUGCCAGCAGCCGCGGUAAUACGGAGGAUGCGAGCGUUAUCCGGAUUUAUUGGGUUUAAAGGGUGCGUAGGCGGCUUUGUAAGUCAGCGGUGAAAUUUUGCAGCUUAACUGUAAAAGCGCCGUUGAUACUGUGAAGCUAGGAUUUGGUUGCUGUGGGCGGAAUGUGUGGUGUAGCGGUGAAAUGCAUAGAGAUCACACAGAAUAUCGAUUGCGAAGGCAGCUCACAAAGCCAAUAUUGACGCUGAGGCACGAAAGUGUGGGGAUCAAACAGGAUUAGAUACCCCGGUAGUCC